GGGGAUGUAGCUCAGUGGCAUAAGCACCUGCCUUGCAAGCAGGUGGUCGUGAGUUCGAUCCCCAGUACCG
rnacentral:tRNA from 1 species